rnacentral:rRNA from 1 species
GUGGGGUAAUGGCCUACCAAGGCAACGAUCGGUAGCCGGCCUGAGAGGGUGAACGGCCACAUUGGGACUGAGACACGGCCCAGACUCCUACGGGAGGCAGCAGUGGGGAAUUUUGGGCAAUGGGGGAAACCCUGACCCAGCGACGCCGCGUGGAGGAUGACGGCCUUCGGGUUGUAAACUCCUGUCAGGUGGGAAGAAGAGCUUGUCGGUUAAUACCCGGCAGGAAUUGACGGUACCACCAAAGGAAGCCCCGGCUAACUCCGUGCCAGCAGCCGCGGUAAUACGGAGGGGGCAAGCGUUAUUCGGAUUUACUGGGCGUAAAGCGCACGUAGGUGGCAUGGUAAGUCAAAGGUGAAAGCCCUCGGCUCAACCGAGGAAUUGCCUUUGAAACUGCUUUGCUUGAGUCCGGGAGGGGGGAGCGGAAUUCCCAGUGUAGCGGUGAAAUGCGUAGAUACUGGGAGGAACACCGGUGGCGAAGGCGGCUCCCUGGACCGGUACUGACACUGAGGUGCGAAAGCGUGGGUAGCAAACAGGAUUAGAUACCCUGGUAGUCCACGCCGUAAACGAUGGGCACUAGGUGCAGCGGGUGUCGACCCCUGCUGUGCCGUAGUUAACGCAUUAAGUG